UUGCAGUCAUAUCACGUUGAAACACCAGUUCCUGUCUGAUCACCGAAGUUAAGCAAUGUUGAUCCUGGUCAGUACCUAGCCGGGUGACUGCUUGGGAAUAACAGGUGUUGUAAG